AACCGCAUGCAGGUAAACGGGUGGCGUCAAGCUGCAAGCCCGGAGGAUUCAGCUGGCUAGGAUGUUGUGAUGUGCCUGGCGCAUCCAUCAGCCGGAGUAAGAUGUGAUAGUCCACUGGGAGACGGUGGGCCCGGCCGCAAGGUUGGGAUAUGUGUACCGGGUGUUAGCCGGAGCAUGCUAUUCGUCUGUUGGGCUGUCUAGCUAGUGCACUUUCUCUGUGGUGAACACCACGACCGGUGGGACUGCCAGUCUGCUGUAGUCAAGUCUUGCUGAGUUGGUCCUCGUGGCUGACUUGGUGGGAUCACAGGCAAUGUCAGUGAACGGCGUAGGAGUGCCUUUGGUGUUCCUACGUGUUAUCGGCCGCUGCUUGUCAACGGGCCUGCUCGGUGGUUGUUGUAACUGCCAUUGGGUGGUCUGGUGGACUAUGGUGGUAUUAAAAACUGUGCAGGGCACCGGAUAUGUCGGCCUCAAAAGCGUCCUGCACUGGCAUGUUACAAGUGCGAGGGGGUAUCAUUGCGGCUCGCCUGUUGUUGAGUCUGAUCGUCGUGUCGCCUGCGCAAAGUGGGCCCGGCGGUGGCUUGAUGCAGGAUGGGUGGUGGAUGGUGCUUCUCAGGUGUAGGGGGCGGUGGGCCCAAUAGUCAGUGGUGCAGUGGUAGACGAGCUACCCGACCCGUCUUGAAACACGGACCAAGGAGUUUAACAUGUAUGCAAGUCAAGGGGUCCUACGAAACCCAAAGGCGCAGUGAAAGUAAAGCUUCGACUUGUUCUCGGAGUGAGGUGAGAUCCUGCCGUGACUCGCAUCGCUUGGUGCCAGCAUCAGGCAAAGAGCGGCAGGCGCAUCACCGGCCCGUCCCAUGAUGUGGUCAUUGGAUGUCUGCAGUUGUUGCUUGC
rnacentral:rRNA from 1 species